AGCAGCCGCGGUAAUUCCAGCUCCAAUAGCGUAUAUUAAAGUUGUUGCAGUUAAAAAGCUCGUAGUUGAAUUUCGGGAUGAUCAGGUUGGUCGUGCCAUUGGUAUGUACUAGCUUUGGUGGUUCCUACCUCUUGAAGAACCGUAAUGUCAUUAACUUGGUGUUGCGGGGAAUCAGGACUGUUACUUUGAAAAAAUUAGAGUGUUUAAAGCAGGCAAACGCUUGAAUACAUUAGCAUGGAAUAAUGAAAUAGGACGUUUGAUCUUAUUUUGUUGGUUUCUAGGAUCGACGUAAUGAUUAAUAGGGAUAGUUGGG
rnacentral:rRNA from 1 species